UACGGGGGGUGCGAGCGUUGUCCGGAAUCACUGGGCGUAAAGGGCGCGUAGGUGGUUUGAUAAGGGUGUGGUGAAAGUCCGGGGCUCAACCCCGGAUCUGCCGUGCCGACUGUCAAACUCGAGGACUGUAGAGGCAGACGGAAUUCCGGGUGUAGCGGUGGAAUGCGUAGAGAUCCGGAGGAAGACCAGUGGCGAAGGCGGGUCUCUGGACAGUUCCUGACACUGAGGCACGAAGGCCAGGGGAGCAAACGGG
rnacentral:rRNA from 1 species